AUUGAACGCUGGCGGCAGGCCUAACACAUGCAAGUCGAGCGAGCGGCGGACGGGAGAGCAAUGUCUGGGACACUGCCUGAUGGAGGGGGCUCACUACUGGAACCGGUUACUACUACCGCAUACCUUCACCUGUGCCCAGAUGGGAUUAGUUAGUGGGUGGGGUAAAGGCUCACCUAGGCGACGAUCCCUAGCUGGUCUGAGAGGAUGACCAGCCACACUGGAACUGAGACACGGUCCAGACUCCUACGGGAGGCAGCAGUGGGGAAUAUUGCACAAUGGGCGCAAGCCUGAUGCAGCCAUGCCGCGUGUGUGAAGAAGGCCUUCGGGUUGUAAAGCACUUUCAGCGAGGAGGCGUUACCCGCAGAAUAAGCACCGGCUAACUCCGUGCCAGCAGCCGCGGUAAUAC
rnacentral:rRNA from 1 species